GACAGAGGGUGCAAACGUUGUUCGGAAUUAUUGGGCGUAAAGCGCGUGUAGGCGGUCAAGCAAGUCGGAUGUGAAAGCCCUCGGCUCAACCGGGGAAGUGCACUCGAAACUGCAUGGCUAGAGUCUCGGAGAGGAUCGUGGAAUUCUCGGUGUAGAGGUGAAAUGCGCAGAUAUCAGGAAGAACACCAAUGGCGAAAGCAGCUCUCUGGGACGGUACUGACGCUGAGGAGCGAAAGCGUGGGGAGCGAACAGG
rnacentral:rRNA from 1 species